rnacentral:rRNA from 1 species
UACAGAGGUCCCAAGCGUUACUGAGAAUCACUGGGUUUAAAGGGUGCGUAGGCGGCCUUCUAAGUCGAACGUGAAAUCCCCGGGCUCAACCCGGGAACUGCGUCCGAUACUGGAAGGCUUGAAUCCGGGAGAGGGAUGCGGAAUUCCAGGUGUAGCGGUGAAAUGCGUAGAUAUGCGGAGGAACACCGAUGGCGAAGGCAAUCCCCUGGGCCUGCACUGACGCUCAUGCACGAAAGCGUGGGGAGCAAACAGG